GAUGAACGCUGGCGGCGUGCCUAAUACAUGCAAGUCGAGCGAACAGAUGAGGAGCUUGCUCCUCUGACGUUAGCGGCGGACGGGUGAGUAACACGUGGAUAACCUACCUACAAGACUGGGAUAACUUCGGGAAACCGGAGCUAAUACCGGAUAAUAUAUUGAACCGCAUGGUUCAAUAGUGAAAGACGGUUUUGCUGUCACUUAUAGAUGGAUCCGCGCCGCAUUAGCUAGUUGGUAAGGUAACGGCUUACCAAGGCAACGAUGCGUAGCCGACCUGAGAGGGUGAUCGGCCACACUGGAACUGAGACACGGUCCAGACUCCUACGGGAGGCAGCAGUAGGGAAUCUUCCGCAAUGGGCAAAAGCCUGACGGAGCAACGCCGCGUGAGUGAUGAAGGUCUUCGGAUCGUAAAACUCUGUUAUUAGGGAAGAACAAAUGUGUAAGUAACUAUGCACGUCUUGACGGUACCUAAUCAGAAAGCCACGGCUAACUACGUG
rnacentral:rRNA from 1 species